AAUGAGCAAUUAAGAGUGAAACUCCAUGAAACAAUGUCUAUCAUUGUUGAUGCAUAGAAAUAUGUCGCGGGAAAUGCACUUAAAGCGUGUUUUUUGAUUGCAUCCUUCUUUACGACAACGCAUAAACUUAUUUUUUAUCAGAAACUGCGCAAAUAUGUAAAUGUUUAUUCUUCGUUGUACGCACAUCUUUCGGCGGCAGAGGUUUUAUUGUUGUAGCUUGAAAUUGCAUGUGGACAAUCAACGUUAAUGUACUUUCUGUUUACUUUAUCCCAUCGUCGAGCGGUUUGUAGGGGUAACGAUCCAGUUGACGUGGAAGCUAUAAGCACAGAGCGGCUAUCCAUCCACUUGACAACACACAAUUUGUCAUCUUCCCUAGCGAACUCUUCGUGACUACCUCUUCCUUUUUUUAAUAAAGUUUUGUCGUUUGAUAACUUUGAUCGAAGUUCCUUAGGUAUCCUGUUGAGUUGAAUAGUACCAGUCGCAAAUAUUUCUUUAUCCAACAAAUGCUCGAGAAUGUUUAUAGAGGUGAAAUAUCGGUCAAUGAAUGCUUCACUACCUUCACUGAGAUCUGUAGCAAGUUUUUGUACAACAGUACCACCAAUUCCCAAAUGUUUAUUCGGCUUUCCAUCGGGCCACGUGUUUGCUCCUUGGUAUAUAAAAAAGUCCAGGGGGGUUACUCUGUACGGCGUUGCGCAAGUGAAAAAGUUCGUAAAUGACAAAAAGCAACUCUGUAAGGCGACAAGCGCAUUGGAAAUUGCGUUUUGCGCAUUUAUUUUUACCCCUUCGCAAUGGCAGCACUCUGUAUUGCGUAAACGACUGUCAAAUCUGUGCGUUUAACGUAUUUUUGAUUCGAUAUCAAACUGGCAAGCGCAACGGACAAAAAAUGGAACAUUUUAAAAAUAAACAAACAAACCCAACACAGUUCGAAAUUUUAAUCAAUUACAUGAAAACACAUUCGGAACUUUCCAAAGGACAACUGAAAACUGUGGACGCGAAAAAUGCUGCAAAUAAUUUAUGGAAAGAGUUGGUAUGUGACCUUAAUGCUGCGGGGCCACCAUCGCGCGAUGUUUUAAAAUUUUGCUGUUGAUAUCCUCCCUGCGCCAAAAAUUUUAAAGUGGCCGCUAAUUUCACAAUUUCGGGUAUUCCUGUCGACCUGCGUGGAGUUUUUAGCUCACUACUUAUGCUGUCCAACACAUAUUUGAAUGAUUCCUUACUUAGGCGAAAGUUUUGCACGAAACUAUUUACGAGUAAAAGCACAAACAAGUUUAAAGAAUUGCAUUACACUUUAUCACUCAUACUUGCCUUUUUUCACUAAGACUCAUCACAUUGGACUUGUCUCUAAUCAUUUUCCGCUUCACUCGUUCAUUUCGUUCGUUCGUUUCCUCCCACAACACAACGCAAUCCAUAUUCACACUUUUUUUAUAUAUUUAAAAUUACUUUUAUAUAUUUAUAAAACUCUUCAAAUUUAAUUUUAUGUUUAUCUGUCAAUUUUCUUCUUCACUUUUCUGUUAUUGGUUUUGUUUUCAUUCUCCUUCGUUUCGGUCAGUAAUGUCAACUAUACUGGAAAUUUGUCAACGUGAAAACAGUGCAACACUGUUUACAAUGCGAAAGUGUUACAGAGUACCGAUUUCCCUUAGCAACGCAUUGCUAUUCGUAACGCCUUACAGAGUAACCCCCCAGAAAAGUAUCAGCUAGAACACGUGACCAUUCAGAUCAGCCAGACUCUCAUACAGACGACAACAAUGUAGGUGCGUCGCACAUGGAUUCUUCCAAAAACGAUGAUGAUGAUGUAUUUUCUCUUCCAUCCUCUAAAACCAAACAAAACACACUAGUAUUAGAACACACUGCUUUAGCUGCCCAAAGAUUUGGAGUAAGUGAUAGAGCAGCGGCCUUGAUUGUUUCAUCUGCUUUUCUGGAUGCCAAAAAAGCAGGUUUGAUAACAGAGGAUCAGGCCAGCUUUGUCACUGACAAAUGCAAGAUUAGUCGGGUAAAAAAAAGUGUUGGAGUUAAGCUCCAAAACACCGAAAGUAUUGACUCUGUAUAUGGGCUGUAUUUUGACGGCCGCAAAGACAAUACACUUACACAAGCCAUUACAGUGAGUUGUUUGUCUUCUACAUUUCAACGAACUUCCAUUUCGUGCUCUUUUCGAACACAUAGAUGGUGUCUCAAAGAGUCCAAAUACAUUCUCUGGCGACAUAAGUAAACUGCUUCCUGAUUAUGAAAAGUUGCCUGUUGUCAAAUUUGAAAGUUUUCCAUCCUGCCAAUUACCUUCUAAGGUUAUUAAUCCGACCCAACUUAGCACAGAUCAAGCUUAUCUCUAUAAAAUAUCAGAAGCUGUUAUUUCCGGUCAAUGUUCCUCAGAUUUAGCGUCGAUGCAUCCAGGUAACAUGUGCAAAUCUCGCUGGCUCACCUGUGCAAAUAGAAUUCUGAGAUUAUACAUUUCUACUGACAAACCAACAAAGGAAAUAAAGAUUUUGUUCAAGUACAUACUUACAGUUUACUCACCUUUGUGGUUCUCAAUAAGAUUCAACAGUUCAAUCAAAGAUGGCUCGCGCCAUCUCUAUGCUGCUAUUCAAAGGUCGAGAUACUUACCUGCUAAACUGCGCAAGGUUGUCGAUUCAUCCAUUCAACACAAUGCUUUCUUUGCUCUUCCAGAAAACAUUCUCCUUAGUAUGAUGAUUGACGAACGGAUAGAAGUCAGAAAGUUGUCCCUUGACCGUCUUCUGGCAGUCAGAGAAGCAGAGUCUGACACUGUAAAUGGAAGGGUGGGUUAGAUGUAAUAAAGUGCCAAAGCUGAAUUUCAAAGCUAAUAAUUAUUACGAUAUGAUUAACUGGAAGACUAUUACCUCGACUGUUCCACCAGUUCUUUGUUCAGUUUCUAACGAAGAACUCAUAAAAGGGCUGUCGGGAGACACUGCAGAGGUAAGGAAAUUUAAUUUCGCAAGCAAGGCCGAAUUCAUUUGCAACGAAAUCUUUCUGAAAUUCUCGAUGCGCAGAGGAAUUUCGUUGAAAAGCAGAGUAUGUUUGAACCUGAACAUUAGGUAAGGAAGCAUUUACAAUCUGAGAGCGAGGUUGGCUUGGAACUAUUAUAUCCGCGACAUUGUGAAUAGGAGGAUUGUCGUCAGAAUGGCUUGGUGGACCUGUAAUUUGCUCGUUGUGUAUGAUUUCUGAAUGUAUGUCAUCUGUGGUAAAUGGACCAGAUGAAUGUAUUGCUGUCCGAGGUAUAUAAGGCAAGUCGUUGCUGCUCUUGAAGCUGCUUUACUGUAGUGUCUGCCAACACUUCUAGAGAGCGGUUCAUUCGCCGUAAAUAUGUCACUGCAAAACGUUCGAUUUUAAAAAUUCGUUUUCAAUUCAAUUAAUACCUUACCUUUCUCCAUGCAUUUGAGUUUUUUGAUGGUGGACCAAGUGCAUUUAAAUUUGAUGCUACCUCUUUCUAAAAAGCCUGCACAUCUUCUUUAGGACGCUGGUAGAAACCGUUGGCUAUAUCUAGCUUACUCUCCAUCAUAUCUGCCAAUUUUCUAUAUUGCUCUGGUGUUGUUGUUUUCGACCUGAAAGCAUAUCAAAAAACAUCAUUAGAGCGCAAAAACUGGAAAUAUCGUGUUUUUUACAACUUUUAAAUACAAGUUUUACUUACAUUUUUGGAAAAUUCAAAAAAAGUCACGAAAAUAAUAAAAUUCAAAUAAUAAACUUCCGCUGAAUUAAUCUUUAAUUUAAUCUGUGCAGCUUACAUACUAAUUUGAUGUGCGCGCAAGUUUUGGUUCUUCGAGCGGAGGAGAAAAUAAAAAUGCCGACGUUGUUAUUUCUGUGACAUUAUAUUUUAUUCUCUCUGCGUCUUCUGUGUGUGGGGCAUUAACCCUUAAAUGCAAAUUAAUUAAGUCGUUUGUUUUUGGGCAACCACGGGCAACUGCCUCGUUUUCUUUAUUAUGUUUUCUUAUAUACAGUAUUUUGCUUAAGUCUAGAUACAAA